CGAACGUGAGCAUUCUCCAUACCUUCCUCUUUGCUGCCAACCCGCAGCUGCUCUAAAAGAGGCUUGUACACUUGAGAUGUACACAGUUUUAUUUGUCCCUUACACCCGUGGAGGGGGAGCUGCUAAAAAUUCAGACAGUGUGUUAGAUGAAUGAAGAAAAACGGAGAAGAAACCGUAUCCCCACAGCAUCUUCAAAAUUGCUAUCUCGUGUCUGAUUGCCUCUCCUGGCACUUCCUGACUGUUUCCCGUUCAGACGCUGCCGCGGCUGCUGCUUUCUCCUUUCUCACUGUUGCUCAUCCAAGAGGACUCCUUGACCUCAGCCACCCGGCCCGGAGGUGUGCACCAUGGUGGCCCUGGCUGCGUGGCUGUGCUUCCCAGUCUGUGUGCGGAGGCGCCCCACUGGGCCGCAGGAACUCUCCGGGGAGCUUCAGGUUCGGAGGGAAACACAGCCAGACUCCAGCCUGGGGAAGCUCGCCGUCAGCGUCAGACCACGCCUUCCAGUGACUCGCCCCCUUGCGAAGCGGGUGUUGGAGUGGCUGCUGGCAUAGGAAGCCAGUACUUGCCAGGACCGACCGAAGGCCACGCGUCCGCCCUGGGAGGGGUCCGCCGGGCCCACGUCCCGGUCGUCCACAGGUGUGUUUGCUAAGGAGUGAAAUUUCUUUUGAUGUAUGUGGAUUCUCUUUUCUAAUGACUAAGUUGCUGUGCAUAAAUAUUAGUUGUUUAGACCUAACUAUUCAUCCGGCAACUGUCAGGUAUUUGUUUUGGCCCGAGGGGGGACAUGAAAACAUUUACUGAGACGUUAAGGAUGCAGUGAAUGGAGAGAGUUCCAGAAGCUGUGGGCUCUCCUGGUAGUUUUCUUACUGUUCCAUAUAAAUCAUUUCCUGCUUGUCUGUCUUUCCACUUGGAAUGUGAGUUUCCUGUUUGGGGGAGAUUUUACAUUUUUGCAUCUAACAAGGGCCUCCGUCGCACCUGUGUUCCCUCUGGGGUUUAGACAUGUCCUGUCACAUCCCAGUGCCACGUGGGCCCUGCCAGCGUCACCUGGACCUGGUUGAGGGUCAUGGAGACUGAGAGCCCCCAGGGAGGGCGAUCCCCGCACUGCAGUUCAGCAGCUUGAAGAUGCUCCUUAUUUGAGGUUCCAACAUCUCUGAAUUUGGGGUGUCUUAUGGUCAGGGAUGUGUCUCUCUUUAGCUGUCUCUUCACUCCUUAGGCGCCAUGAAAUAACUGCACUAUUAUGGCUGGGGGGUCUUAGAUGUGUUGGAAUAGGCGACUCAAUCCACCGGCAGUGGCUCGAGUUUGGGCGCUGGGGUCCGCCCGCAGCCCACCCGGCCCUGAGUGUGGAGGAGCUUCGAGUAGACAACAGACCCAGCCGCCGUGCAUCUCCUGGAGGG